UACGAAGGGGGCUAGCGUUGUUCGGAAUUACUGGGCGUAAAGCGCGCGUAGGCGGUGAUCUUUGUCAGAGGUGAAAGCCCGGGGCUCAACUCCGGAAUUGCCUUUGAAACGGGAUUGCUAGAGUCCGAGAGAGGAUGGCGGAAUUCCUAGUGUAGAGGUGAAAUUCGUAGAUAUUAGGAAGAACACCAGUGGCGAAGGCGGCUCACUGGCCCGAUACUGACGCUGAGGCACGAAAGCGUGGGGAGCAAACAGG
rnacentral:rRNA from 1 species